rnacentral:rRNA from 1 species
AGAGUUUGAUCCUGGCUCAGGAUGAACGCUGGCGGUAUGCCUAACACAUGCAAGUCGAACGGGAAUCUUCGGAUUCUAGUGGCGGACGGGUGAGUAACGCGUGAGAAUCUGGCUCUAGGACGGGGACAACAGUGGGAAACUACUGCUAAUACCGGAUCAGCCGAGAGGUAAAAGAUUUAUCGCCUAGAGAUGAGCUCGCGUCUGAUUAGCUAGUUGGUGGGGUAAGAGCCCACCAAGGCCACGAUCAGUAGCUGGUCUGAGAGGAUGAGCAGCCACACUGGGACUGAGACACGGCCCAGACUCCUACGGGAGGCAGCAGUGGGGAAUUUUCCGCAAUGGGCGCAAGCCUGACGGAGCAGUACCGCGUGAGGGAAGAAGGCUUUUGGGUUGUAAACCUCUUUUCACAGGGAAGAAGCCAUGACGGUACCUGAGGAAUAAGCAUCGGCUAACUCCGUGCCAGCAGCCGCGGUAAUACGGAGGAUGCGAGCGUUAUCCGGAAUUAUUGGGCGUAAGCGUCCGCAGGUGGCUAGUCAAGUCUGCCGUCAAAGACAGAAGCUUAACUUCUGGAAGGCGGUGGAAACGGGCGAGCUAGAGUACGGUAGGGGUAGAGGGAAUUCCCAGUGUAGCGGUGAAAUGCGUAGAGAUUGGGAAGAACACCAGUGGCGAAAGCGCUCUACUGGGCCUGUACUGACACUGAGGGACGAAAGCUAGGGGAGCGAAAGGGAUUAGAUACCCCUGUAGUCCUAGCCGUAAACGAUGGAUACUAGGCGUAGCUUGUAUCGACCCGAGCUGUGCCGAAGCCCAACGCGUUAAGUAUCCCCGCCUGGGGAGUACGCACGCAAGUGUGAAACUCAAAGGAAUUGACGGGGGCCCGCACAAGCGGUGGAGUAUGUGGUUUAAUUCGAUGCAACGCGAAGAACCUUACCAGGACUUGACAUCUCCGGAAUCCUGCCGAAAGGGAGGAGUGCCUAAGGGAACCGGAAGACAGGUGGUGCAUGGCUGUCGUCAGCUCGUGUCGUGAGAUGUUGGGUUAAGUCCCGCAACGAGCGCAACCCUCGUGCCUAGUUGCCAGCAGUAAGAUGGGCACUCUAGGGAGACUGCCGGUGACAAACCGGAGGAAGGUGGGGAUGACGUCAAGUCAGCAUGCCCCUGAUGUUCUGGGCUACACACGUACUACAAUGGAGGGGACAAAGGGCAGCAAGCUUGAGAAAGUAAGCGAAUCUCAGCAAACCCAGCCUCAGUUCAGAUUGCAGGCUGCAACUCGCCUGCAUGAAGGAGGAAUCGCUAGUAAUCGCAGGUCAGCAUACUGCGGUGAAUUCGUUCCCGGGCCUUGUACACACCGCCCGUCACACCAUGGAAGCUGGCCACGCCCGAAGUCGUUACUCCAACCAGAAAUGGAGGAGGACGCCGAAGGCAGGGCUAGUGACUGGGGUGAAGUCGUAACAAGGUAGCCGUACCGGAAGGUGUGGCUGGAUCACCUCCUUA